AUACGAAGGUCCCAAGCGUUAUUCGGAAUCACUGGGCGUAAAGAGUACGUAGGCGGUUUGGUAAGUCAGGUGUGAAAUCCCGGAGCUCAACUCCGGAACUGCAUCCGAUACUGCCAGACUUGAGUAAUGGAGAGGCAGGUGGAAUUCUCGGUGUAGCAGUGAAAUGCGUGGAUAUCGAGAGGAAGACCAAUGGCGAAGGCAGCCUGCUGGACAUUUACUGACGCUGAGGUACGAAGGCUAGGGGAGCGAACCGGAUUAGAUACCCGUGUAGUCC
rnacentral:rRNA from 1 species